GACGUAGGGCGCGAGCGUUGUCCGGAUUUAUUGGGCGUAAAGAGCUCGUAGGCGGCUUGUCGCGUCGUUCGUGAAAACCUGCAGCUCAACUGCAGGCUUGCGGUCGAUACGGGCAGGCUGGAGUUCGGUAGGGGAGACUGGAAUUCCUGGUGUAGCGGUGAAAUGCGCAGAUAUCAGGAGGAACGCCAGCGGCGAAGGCGGCAUCCUGGACUGGUCCUGACGCUCAGGAGCGAAAGCGUGGGGAGCGAUCCGG
rnacentral:rRNA from 1 species